rnacentral:rRNA from 1 species
CCAGACUCCUACGGGAGGCAGCAGUGGGGAAUAUUGCACAAUGGGGGAAACCCUGAUGCAGCGACGCCGCGUGAGCGAUGAAGUAUUUCGGUAUGUAAAGCUCUAUCAGCAGGGAAGAAAAUGACGGUACCUGACUAAGAAGCCCCGGCUAACUACGUGCCAGCAGCCGCGGUAAUACGUAGGGGGCAAGCGUUAUCCGGAUUUACUGGGUGUAAAGGGAGCGUAGACGGCGGUGCAAGCCAGAUGUGAAAGCCCGCGGCCCAACCGCGGGACUGCAUUGGGAACUACCGGGCUGGAGUGCCGGAGAGGUAGGCGGAAUUCCUGGUGUAGCGGUGAAAUGCGUAGAUAUCAGGAGGAACACCGGUGGCGAAGGCGGCCUGCUGGACUGCGACUGACGUUGAGGCCCGAAAGCGUGGGGAGCAAACAGGAUUAGAUACCCGUGUAA